UCUAAUGUCAUGUUGAGAAGUUGUUGUCUAAAUCCCAGGUUAGGUUUCUUGACUUAGUGUUAACACUGGUGCUAAAUCAGGUCAUAUAGAUGGUAAAGAUCAGCAAAUAGAAACUAAACUAAACUAAAGUUAACAUUCCUCCACAGAACACUGUUCAUGAUUAUAUUUGCCCAUCGAUAGCAACUAUAGAGUAAUGGUGUCCGUGUGUUUGCUUGUGUGUAUGUGUGUGCAUAUUUUAAUUUUAUUUUUUUGUCUGGUAACAGUGUAGCGCUUUACAGGAGAGGACUUUAAACCGGAACCUUCAUAUAUGACCUCAGUAUGGUCCCUUCUCACAGUGAUUAGAUUUUGGGGUCAAUACAUGAAUUGGUGACCGCUUCAGAGGUCAAAGGUCGUCCAUCUCUCUCAUACAGUCCGUGAAUGCUGUGUGUUCAGGUACUGUGUGUUCAGGUAGUGGUGGACCCUCAGCAGAUGCUUUGCAACAUUUCAACUAGUCACAGCAGAGCGUCCGUUCCCCUGAUCCAACUACAGACCGUGUUAAAGUUAACGGAGUGUCCACACCUCCAAUGACACAAGAUGAGCUGCAGUUUCUCCUCUCAGCCGCUGGGAGGGGGAGAACCUGAGCACACUUCUACCAUCUGUCAGAAAAGAAGAAGAGACCAUCCUGAGCUAUGUUCAUUGCUGCUUCCACCCAUUGACUGUAUAAGAAAGAUACAGUCUAUGCUUUCAAUCCACCUGAUCCACCAGUGAGGAGAGAGUGAUGGAGUUUCAUUCCAUAUGCCUUAUUGGCAAGGAUGGUAUUAUUAAAAAGCCAAAAUGAUGUAAAUGUUUGCAAAUCUAUGUGUGUGGCCUGGUCAUAAAGGAUGGGACCAGACACCAAAAAAAUGAUUUUAUGUGGGUUUUUAUUCUCCGACUGAACGUUAUACAUAAAUCAACAGUAUUGACUUAAUCAUUCUGAGGAUAGAUGAGCUCAGGACAAAACAGAAAACUUCCCUAAACUUGUCCACAUAAGGUCUUGGUUCUUAGCUGCUGGACAACUGAAAGUAAAGCUUUACAAGACAGCUUCCAGAAUACUACAUGCUUAAAAAGCACAAUAUAAAAGGUAUUCUACUUCUUCAUCUUCUUCUUCUUCUUAUUAUUAUUAUUAUUAUUAUUAUUAUCAUUAGACAACUAAGAGUGGUCUUGUAGACAACAGUAGUGCUUCUAUUUCUAGAUAAAGAAAAUAAAAUACAAUUCAAGUACUGAAGUGUUUAAACUUAAAGUAAACUUAAAAUAUUUUUUACUCACAUGGCCCUCACAUGCAUGGAAGCAAAUCAUUUACAACCAUAAUCACCCACUAGCUUCCAUGCACAUAAAACCCACUUUUUAACAUUUUCACAUUGUGCACAUAAUCUUUCAUGUAGUCUUUAUCUUGUCAACACCUGUGCAGGCAGGCAGGCAUGUGUCAAAAUCAUUCAACCUCUAAACAGUCUUGCUCCAUUUUCUUCAAUAAUUACUUCAAAUCAGUUCAAUGUAUGCUUCAAAACAUCAGUCCGUUAAACCCCGCAGGAGUGAUCAAACCAGAGACUCUACCUCUAACAGAGGGUGCAGCUGCACAGCACAUACCAAUACGUUUGAUGUGGUUAAGAAGAAUCUCUCACAGUUUCUGCAAUUACUGGCCAUGGGAAAACAACUCUGUUUGAAAGGAAGGCGGCAGCAGGAGUGAUCAAACCAGAGACUCUACCUCUAACAGAGGGUGCAGCUGCACAGCACUCUGAGCCGACCUGCAGACCCGGGACUAGAUCCUUCUACAGAGCAUGUCUCUGAACCCCAAUGACUAUGGUUGGACAUUAGGUGUGCUUGGGUAUGAGCCAGUUCCAACACUAGACCCCAUGGCUCCUGAGGAGCUACUGAAGUUCACGAGCUGUAAUUGUCAUGGAGAUUGCAACAACCAGCGGUGCAGCUGCAAGAAGAACGGGCUCACGAGCAUCUGGGCCUGUGGAAUCUGUAAAGGCAUUACAUGCAGAAACUGCAGUCAUUAUGUUGUUGAGUCUGAAGAAGAUAUUGUGAAUGGGAAAUAACUGAGUAAUAUAUAAGUAUGUGAAAGUAAAGCUACUGUGAAUGUAAAUGUAAAA